CCCAAUCCUCUUCGUCCUCGAGCCCCACGCCACACUUCUUCCCUCACGGCGCCGUCCAGCCUCCCCUGCUCCUCGACCAUCCGCCUCUCGCGCCGCCGCCUUCUAUUCCGUGCCUCUUCCCCGGCGCCUCGGAGGCGCUCGUCGCUGGACCCUCGCUGCCGGCCUCCUCAUCCUCUUUCUUCCUCGACGAUGUCGUGCUCCUCGCCCGCUGCACCCAGGCCGAACAGGCACCGGUGACACCGUGAGUAGGAGGAGCUCUUCCAGGAUGACGGCAGUCGGAGGAGGAUCCCGGGUCAAGGGCACCCCUGGCCCUGGGACUCGCUGUGAAGAAGCCACCGGACGAGAUGCUCGAGCUGGGCGACGGCCUCCUCUUGUCUGCCUGGGAGAGUCCUCGUUGUUUUGGAUGGGUUGCAACGGCCAGAUGACCAAGGCUGCAGAUGUGACCACCACCUGUUUGUAUAAAUGCUUAAGGAGGACUGCUCAGGGGAGGACAACAUGUAUGUUUGAAAGAGAGGGAUGUAAAAGAGGGGGCUGGAGUAAGAGGAGAAGAGGAAGGAAUGGAACCACUUGAUGUCUCUUUGUCAUCGACGCCAUCCCGCCAUUACGGAGAUUUUGUUGUGCUGAUGUUUCCGUUUCAUGCCAUUGUCCACGAGUUCUACUUGCUGCUUAUUUCCAAUUAAGUAUUUAGUUCCAUAAUGCUCUGGCCAACCUAUUUUAUUGCAACAUUUGUGGUUCUUUUGUGCCAGAUUAGGUGUUUGUAUUGUUUCCGAAGUUCUUAUGGCAUACUUUCUUAAGAUUUUUAUUUGUGACACUUGCAGAAGUGCGGUUCAACAUUAGUUAGUAAAAUGCCCAGUAAGUUACUAAGGUGUAAUGUAACUGCAAUCCUUGAAUGAAUUAAGGUUCGCCUUGUUAGCUAAAAGAUUUAUGGUUUGAUCCAGAUCAGAAAUUGCUUUCUUAUGUGCUGGCAAAACAUGAUAAGCAGGUAAUAAGCCCUCACUCCUUUGGGCAGAUAGUUGUUGGAUGUAUUGCCAUGUGACAGUAUGUAGUACUCCCUCUUUUUUAUUUGUGCCACAUGGCAAUACAUUUCCUGAAUCUUGUUAUUGCGAGCCCCAGUUUGCUCAUCUGAUGCAUACCCCAGAUGCAAGUCCAGAGUAGUUAUAUAGCAUUACAUGGCAAAUCGAUCUUUUCUUGUGGUUUAGUAGUUGCAGCUCUAUCGGCCAUAGAAGAAAGCAAUUGGAUUUUUUAAUCUGCACAUGUGGGAUUGCUGGGUGUAGAUAGGAUAAUAAGAUACCACUACAAACAAUGGCAAAAUACAUUUUACUUAGUAUCUUGCAUAAAUACGUACUCCCUCCGUUCCGAAUUACUUGUCGCAGGUAUGGAUGUAUCUAGAUGUAUUUUAGUUGUAGAUACAUCCAUUUCCGUGACGAGUAAUUAGGAACGGAGGGAGUACAUGUGUGUAUUAGACUUCUCUAGCUAACCUCGAGCAUUAAUUGUACAUCUUGGUAAAUGUACUUAGUUGCUUAGUUUACUGGCAGUUACGAAUAGUCAGAGCACAUACAUGCUUGGUUUUACUUAAGUUAGCAGCUGCCAUCCUGUAAUUACUAAGAACUGAUAUGUGGAAAUUAGACCUGAAGAAAGUGUGCCUCCCUGUUUUCCGGAGAGAAUUACUUCUGGUUACAUACUAUGGCCAAAUUAAGUAGGCUUAUAUAAUAAGCUUUUUCAUAUUUUUUUCUUAUAGAAACUGAACUGUUAUUUUGUUAAUAUAUCAUAGUCAUUCUUAAAGACCCUAUGGCUGGUUGCCAAACAUGUGCAAUAAUUACUUGCUGAAGCACAUGUCCUAAUUUAUCAUGGGUUUUGUUGGCGCUUUCAUAUCCAGCAUGAUUAAUCAAGGUUAUUACAAAAAACUUGCAGGUUUAGUCAACCAAGGGAGUGCAGUUGCAACGCUGGAAAACUUGCAAGGCACAGAAGGAAGAUCCAUCAACUAUGUAGUUCAAUAGGUAAAUCAAUUUCACACUGGUGAGAACUCCAAAACUUUGCUUUCCCCUUGACACAACUUCGAUUUUGCUUCUCCUAUUUAUCUCAUGUUGUGCUUUUUAUUUUUUUACUUUUACCCUCUAUAUCCAAAUUCAGUAGCGUACCAAAUUGGAAUAACAUUCCUUCACUCGUGGUCGUACCGUAAUGUUUGCCUUUCCCAGUCAGCAAGAACCAUCUAGCACUAAUGCUUGUUCUUACAUUUGGUGGCACUGCUUCAGUGGAUGUCAUGAUAUAAUCCAUUUUAAGUGCAGCUCACUACAAAUUAGAAAGUGUUUGAUCUUACAUACUCCCUCCGUUCGGAAUUACUUGUCCAAGAAAUGAAUGUAUCUAUAUGUAUUUUAGUUGUAGAUACAUCCAUUUUUGUGACAAGUAAUUCCGAACGGAGGGAGUAUAUUUUUAAUUGCAACACCGUCAGUUCCAACCAUGGACAUGUCAUCAGGGUAACCGACUGCUAGGUCCCAGUGUUUUCGAUAUACUGGUUACUUUUCGUUGACGAAGGGACUGAUAGCUAACCCGUGCUAUUUUCUGAACAUCAUAUGUGGAAAUAAAUUUAUGUGACAAGUCAGUAUCUUUGUGAGAUAGGAAAAACAGAUGCCCAUAAUCUUUACUUCUUGCUAUAAAAUAAAAAAAUCUGCAAUAAAUUAAAUAGUCAGCGUAGAAAGUUGGCUGGGAACUCCUAAAAUUACUUUGCAGUGAGAAUGAUUAUAGGGAUAGGAUAAAAGAAGGAAAACAUGAACCCAACCUACAUAAGAAAUCAACAUUUUCAGUUAUCUUGUGACUGUUGCUAAAAUAGUUCACCUGAUUCCAGUUCUAAAUAUAACUAUAACUCAUAGUUGAGCUAAAGUUGUACCCACUAAGUCUGGUGAUAGGGCUCGGGCGACCUAGCCGCCGCCGCCCCCACUCCCCUUUACUCCCUCGCUCCACCCGCCACCGCCGGAGGAGGCCGACGAGCAAAGCCCACUCGGUGGAUGGCGGUGGUGGGGCACCCUCGUCGCGCGCCGCAAGUCUUCGGCCCUGGACGAAGGCCUGCAUCCGGCGGCGGCUGCGUCUGGCCAGGCGCGGGCAAGCCGGGGUGGCGGCCCCGGGCUCGGCGGCGGCGCUGUUUCCUCCUCUCCCUCGUCGGGAGAGUGGGGGGCGGCGCUGAGGCUGGCCAUCGUCGAUCUGGUGCGGCGCAUCUGGUGGUGUGCGGCGUGCCUGUGGGUUCGGCCGUGAGGACGGCGAGCCGUAGGCGUGCCAGAUCUGGAGGUAUUGCCCCUCUCCCUUCCAUGCAUCCCUUCCCAGUCCCCGGUUCGUUUUGGAUCUUGCCGGAUCCACCUCCGGUGUGUUCUGAUGGAGCAGAUCGGUGUCCGGGGGAAACCUUGGCUGCCUUAGGCUGACCGGCAGCGGCGACGCCGAUUUUUGGCGCCGCUUUCCUCCUUGGGGGCGUUGCUGAGGGCACCAUCUCUCCUCUCCAACCCAUGUCCGGGUGAAAGCCCAAGAUCCGAUGCGGAUCGGGCGUCGGCGGCGCCCUGUGCACCGUAACCUUCCUGGAGGCGACGCCAAGGACAUUGGGAUCGGAUGGAAGGGUCUGCAGGUGAGGGGUGGGGGUGUGCUGCCUCCCUUCGGUGGAGCGGUGUUUCGUUCUACGUAUUCUUGGCGGCGGCUCUUGGCGGCAUGGAGCAGCGGAGGCUUGGCGUCAGAUGUGUGGUGACGGACACGCGCAGGAGGUCGACGCUGUCUGGCGUCGUGGUGGCGUCGGCGGCAGCGAGACCGGGCAAGGCCGUUACAACAGUACAGCUUUGAAGAUGGAUAUGUGGUAGGUGGUUGUGGCGGCCUCAUACCCGGCGGGCGGCCUGGUUGAGGAGCACGCCGGACUGGUGGGUGCCCAUACCCGACAGGCGUCCAGGUUGGGACCUCAGGUCUUAGAUGUUAGGUUUGGCUGCGAGGUCUGUUUGGUAUUAGGCCCAGACCAUCAGCGCCCCUUCAUCAGUUAGAUAGGAGUAGCGACAGAGGUUGCGAAGAUGGUGACUUUGGUCUUACUGUUGUACGACUUUGUAAGGUUUUGUGCUAAUAAUUAAUAAAGUGGCCGUAUGCAUCGACCAGAUGCAGAGGCCGGGGGUAUUCCUCCUUUUCGAAAAAAAAACUAAGUUUGGUGAUAUGCUUUAUAUUGUGAGACUAACAGAGUAUUUGUUUGCCUUUGGAAACUACUUGAUGCUACGGGGUCCUAUAAACAGACGUAUAAAUGUAUUUAUAAUUCUGUUGGUGACAGCAGUCUGAAGGAAGAAAUCUGAACCAUGAAUAUGCUCUACAUGCAUUACCAUAGCAGUGGAUAAAUUAUGCACAAAUGGUUACUCUCAAGAAAUCUUCAAUUUUAGUACUUAAUGUUGCACCAUGAGAGAUAAGUAGGCGAAGAUGACCACUGAGUCUUGCCUUGACCUAGAGCAAGCAAAUGCAACUAUUUCUUUUAGCAAGAUAUAGACACUGAGUACAACUGUGACUGAUAUUUCAUAUAUUGUUCUAAUAUUUUAUAUAUUGUUCUGAAAGUAAUUUUCUACGGGUUCUUAGUUAUGAACACAAUACCUUGUGAAAAGCCAGCAUGUCAGCGAAAGGUGAAGCAAUUUCUUGUGUGUAGCCUGCUCAAAUAUGCAUUUAACAUAAUCGAACUUACUAUCAUGUAUCGAAUGUCUAGCAUUGAAAUCAUAGAUCCAUCGUGCACAACUUGAAUUGUGUCUUUUGUAUUAUUACCAUAUGGCAGUACCUUUGUUGUGCCUCUAAUUAGAUUGCAAAUCCGAGGAUUUUUGUCGAUCUAGCAUUACUAUCAAAUAAAAUAAUGUGGCUUUGUGGGUUAAGACUGAUACUGAUACUUCACUUUAGUUGCUAAAAUAUGUACCUCAAUGUUUUACUACUUGUGCGAGGGUGAACAUGUAAACUGUGAUGGUUUCUAAAGUAGCUUAUGUAGCUCUCCAUUAUGAAAUUUUUCAUCAUUCUAAUUUAUAAAGAAAUAUUUGCUCGUGUUUAUCUAUUUUGUUUGAUGCAACUCUCAUCUAGAAACUAGAAUAUGAAACUGUUAUUAUCUAUCAGGUGAGGAACUCAUGGGCUUGUAAUAGGAAAAAAUAAUUGCAAGUAUAGUUUCAGGAAAUGAAUGUGUCUAAUAUAACGGCCAAAGAAGGCAUGAGGCUAUAAUAUCAUUUUUGUUCGCAUUUCUUUCAGGAAGUCACAGCUAGGGGUGGUGGGCGGACAUAACCGCAUGUUAGCCUUUUAUGUUUUUCUGGAUUAAGUGUGAGCUAGCGUUAGAUUCUUUUCCUGGUACAUAAUUGAUAUGUACAGUUCCACACAAUCAUGAUCACCAUACAACAGUCUGAUUAGAACCCAUCUGAUUGACACUGAAGCAUGUAAUGGGCUAUCUGUAGUGUAUCUCAUUUUUUUUAAUGCGGCAUUUCCUGUAUGUAUAUGCUAAAAUCGAGUUUUUUGUCAAUCUCUACGUUGUCUGAGUUUCCAAUUUUUUUUCUUGCUCCGUCCUUCAAAAAAUUGUGGUUGUUACCAAUACCAAACUUUGUUAUCUUCAC
rnacentral:rRNA from 1 species